AUGAAAGUCGAGCUGUGCAGUUUCAGCGGAUACAAGAUCUACUCCGGACACAGGAGGCGCUACGCCAGGACCGAAGGGAAGGUUUUCCGGUUUCUUAAUUCAAAAUGCGAGUAGGCAUUCCUUUCCAAGAGUAAUCUUCGGCAGAUAAGCUGGACUGUCCUCUACAGAACGAAGCACAAAAAGGGACAGUCAGAAGAAAUUCAGAAGAAAAGAACCCGUCGAGCAGUCAAAUUCCAGAGGGCCAUUACUGGUGCAUCUCUUGCUGAUAUAAUGGCCAAGAGGGAUCAGAAACCUGAAGUUAGAAAGGCUCAAAGAGAACAAGCUAUCAGGGCUGCUAAGGAAGCAAAAAAAGGCUAAGCAAGCAUCUAAAAAGACUGCAAUGGCUGCUGCUAAGGCACCUACAAAGGCAGCACCUAAGCAAAAGACUGUGAAGGUUGUGAAAGUUUCAGCUCCCCAAGUUGGUGGAAAACGCUAA
rnacentral:lncRNA from 1 species